rnacentral:rRNA from 1 species
ACAUUGCCUUCUGGAUUAGAGUAGUAGGUAAUUUCUGCCCACUGCAAUUUUGGUAAAGGGCUGCAGUAUUUUGACUGUAUAAAGGUAGCAUAAUCAUUAGCUUUUUAAUUGAGAGCUGGUAUGAAGGGGACACAGGGGAAUAAUAUAUUAAUAAAGAAUGUUGAAUUUUAUAGUUUUGUGAAAAAUCAAAGAUUUAGCUAAGGGACAAGAAGACCCUAUUUAAGUUUUAUUGUUGUUUUGAGAAAAAUAUAUAGGUGAAAUUUGUAUUAAUGUAAUUUUUGAGCGGUGGUUUGGCUGGGGCGGUGUUUUUAAAAACAAGAUUUUUGGUUCAAUAUAAUUUGGCGUGUUUUAGAUCUGAAAGGAUCAAUUAAAUGGAUAAUUACUUUAGGGAUAACAGCGUUAUUAUUUCUGAGAGUUCUAAUUGACGAAGUAGCUUGCGACCUCGAUGUUGGAUUAAGAUUAGCGUUGGUGCAGUAGUCGGCGUGUUUGGUCGUCGA